rnacentral:rRNA from 1 species
AACGAACGCUGGCGGCAGGCUUAACACAUGCAAGUCGAGCGCCCCGCAAGGGGAGCGGCAAACGGGUGAGUAACGCGUGGGAAUCUACCCAUCUCUACGGAACAACGCAUGGAAACGUGUGCUAAUACCGUAUACGUCCUUCGGGAGAAAGAUUUAUCGGAGAUGGAUGAGCCCGCGUUGGAUUAGCUAGUUGGUGGGGUAAAGGCCUACCAAGGCAACGAUCCAUAGCUGGUCUGAGAGGAUGAUCAGCCACCCUGGGACUGAGACACGGCCCAGACUCCUACGGGAGGCAGCAGUGGGGAAUAUUGGACAAUGGGCGCAAGCCUGAUCCAGCCAUGCCGCGUGAGUGAUGAAGGCCCUAGGGUUGUAAAGCUCUUUCACUGGUGAAGAUAAUGACGGUAACCGGAGAAGAAGCCCCGGCUAACUUCGUGCCAGCCGCCGCGGUAAAAC